rnacentral:rRNA from 1 species
UACCUACGCGAGGCAGCAGUGGGGAAUAUUGCACAAUGGGGGAAACCCUGAUGCAGCGACGCCGCGUGAGUGAAGAAGUAUUUCGGUAUGUAAAGCUCUAUCAGCAGGGAAGACAAUGACGGUACCUGACUAAGAAGCCCCGGCUAACUACGUGCCAGCAGCCGCGGUAAUACGUAGGGGGCAAGCGUUAUCCGGAUUUACUGGGUGUAAAGGGAGCGUAGGUGGCAGGGCAAGUCAGAUGUGAAAAUCCGGGGCCCAACCUCGGAACUGCAUUGGAAACUGUUUAUCUAGAGUGUCGGAGAGGC